rnacentral:misc_RNA from 1 species
GAUGAAGAACGUAGCGAAAUGCGAUAAGUAAUGUGAAUUGCAGAAUUCAGUGAAUCAUCGAAUCUUUGAACGCACAUUGCGCCCGCCAGUAUUCUGGCGGGCAUGCCUGUUCGAGCGUCAUUUCAACCAUCAAGCCCCCGGGCUUGUGUUGGGGACCUGCGGCUGCCGCAGGCCCUGAAAAGCAGUGGCGGGCUCGCUGUCACACCGAGCGUAGUAGAUUUUAUCUCGCUCUGGGCGUGCCGCGGGUUCCGGCCGUUAAACCACCCUUUUAACCCAAGGUUGACCUUGGAUCAGGUAGGAAGACCCGCUGAACUUAAGCAUAUCAAUAAGCGGAGGA